rnacentral:lncRNA from 1 species
UAAAAUGGGGUGGUUGGUGUAUUGUAUAGUUCUAGAGAUUGGAUUUCCCUCAAAACCCACCAAAUGACUCCUCCCUGAAUAUUAUGGUGUUCCCCAAGUUUUGGACUCAAUCCGAUAUCGAUCGGUCCAUGAAAUUUGACAAUUCAGGUUCGUACGAAGUUCGUUCUGAAAUUGAGUGGUUGGUGUAUUGUGUAGUUCUAGAGAUUGGAUUUCACUCCAAACCCACCAAAUGACUCCUCCCACAAUAUUAUGAUGUUCCCCACGUUUUGGACUCAAUCUGAUAUCGAUUGGUCCUUGAAAUCGGACAAUUCAGUUUCGUACGAAGUUCGUUCUGAAAUGGGGUGGUUGGUGUAUUGUAUAGUUCAACAGAUUGGAUUUCACUCCAAACCCACCAAAUGACUCCUCCCACAAUAUUAUGAUGUUCCCCACGUUUUGGACUCAAUCUGAUAUCGAUCGGUCCUUGAAAUCGGACAUUUCAGGUUCGUACGAAGUUCGUUCUGAAAUGGGGUGGUUGGUGUAUUGUAUAGUUCUAGAGAUUGGAUUUCACUCAAAACCAACCAAAUGACUCCUCCCAAAAUAUUAUGAUGUUCCCCAAGUUUUGGACUCAAUCCGAUAUCGAUUGGUCCUUGAAAUCGGACAAUUCAGGUUCGUACGAAGUUCGUUCGAAAUGGGGUGGUUGGUGUAUUGUAUAGUUCUAGAGAUUGGAUUUCACUCAAAACCCACCAAAUGACUCCUCCCUGAAUAUUAUGGUGUUCCCCAAGUUUUGGACUCAAUCCGAUAUCGAUCGGUCCAUGAAAUUUGACUAUUCAAGUUCGUACGAAGUUCGUUCUGAAAUGGAGUGGUUGGUGUAUUGUAUAGUUCUAGAGCUUGGAUUUCACUCAAAACCCCCGAAAUGACCCCUCCCCCAAUAUUAUGAUGUUCCCCAAGUUUUGGACUCAAUCCGAUAUCGAUCGUUCGUUGAAAUCGGAGCAUUCAGGUUCGUACGAAGUUCGUUCUAAAAUGGGGUGGUUGGUGUAUUGUAUAGUUCUAGAGACUGGAUUUCACUCAAAACCCGCCGAAUGACUCCUCCCACAAUAUUAUGAUGUUCCCCUAGUUUUGGGACUCAAUCCGAUAUCGAUUGGUCCUUGAAAUCGGACAAUUCAGGUUCCUAUGAAGUUUUGUUCUGAAAAUGGGGUGGUUGGUGUAUUGUGUUCUAGAGAUUGGGAUUUCAAUCUUAACCCACCAAAUGACUCCUUCCCACAAUAUUAUGAUGUUCCCCAAGUGUUGGACUCAAUCCGAUAUCGAUUGGCCUUGAAAUCGGACAAUUCAGGUGCUACGAAGUUCGCUCUAAAAUGGGGUGGUUGGUGUAUUGUAUAGUUCUAGAGAUUGGAUUCACUCAAAACCCACCAGAAUGACUCUUCCCCGAAUAUUAUGGUGUUACCCACACGAUUUGGACUCAUUCCGAUAUCGAUCGGGCUAGGAAUAUGACUAUUCAGGGUCGUUCGAAGUUCGUUCUGAAAUGGAGUGGUUGGUGUAUUGUAUAGUUCUAGAGCUUGGAUUUCACUCAAAACCCCCCAAAUGACUCCUCCCCCAAUAUUGCGAUGUUCUCCAAGUUUUGGACUCAAUCCGAUAUCGAUUGGUCCUUGAAAUCGGACAAUUCAGGUUCGUACGAAGUUCGUUCUAAAAUGGGGUGGUUGGUGUAUUGUAUAGUUCUAGAGAUUGGAUUUCCCUCAAAACCCACCAAAUGACUCCUCCCUGAAUAUUAUGGUGUUCCCCAAGUUUUGGACUCAAUCCGAUAUCGAUCGGUCCAUGAAAUUUGACAAUUCAGGUUCGUACGAAGUUCGUUCUGAAAUGGAGUGGUUGGUGUAUUGUGUAGUUCUAGAGAUUGGAUUUCACUCCAAACCCACCAAAUGACUCCUCCCACAAUAUUAUGAUGUUCCCCACGUUUUGGACUCAAUCUGAUAUCGAUUGGUCCUUGAAAUCGGACAAUUCAGUUUCGUACGAAGUUCGUUCUGAAAUGGGGUGGUUGGUGUAUUGUACAGUUCAACAGAUUGGAUUUCACUGCAAACCCACCAAAUGACUCCUCCCACAAUAUUAUGAUGUUCCCCACGUUUUGGACUCAAUCUGAUAU